rnacentral:rRNA from 1 species
AUUGAACGCUGGCGGAAUGCUUUACACAUGCAAGUCGAACGGCAGCACGGGGCAACCUGGUGGCGAGUGGCGAACGGGUGAGUAAUACAUCGGAACGUGCCCAAUCGUGGGGGAUAACGUAGCGAAAGUUACGCUAAUACCGCAUACGAUCUACGGAUGAAAGCGGGGGAUCGCAAGACCUCGCGCGAGUGGAGCGGCCGAUGUCAGAUUAGGUAGUUGGUGGGGUAAAGGCUCACCAAGCCAACGAUCUGUAGCUGGUCUGAGAGGACGACCAGCCACACUGGAACUGAGACACGGUCCAGACUCCUACGGGAGGCAGCAGUGGGGAAUUUUGGACAAUGGGCGCAAGCCUGAUCCAGCCAUUCCGCGUGCAGGAUGAAGGCCUUCGGGUUGUAAACUGCUUUUGUACGGAACGAAACGGCGAGCUCUAAUACAGUUUGCUAAUGACGGUACCGUAAGAAUAAGCACCGGCUAACUACGUGCCAGCAGCCGCGGU